AGUCGAACGGUGAACACGGAGCUUGCUCUGUGGGAUCAGUGGCGAACGGGUGAGUAACACGUGAGCAACCUGCCCCUGACUCUGGGAUAAGCGCUGGAAACGGCGUCUAAUACUGGAUAUGUGACGUGACCGCAUGGUCUGCGUUUGGAAAGAUUUUUCGGUUGGGGAUGGGCUCGCGGCCUAUCAGCUUGUUGGUGAGGUAAUGGCUCACCAAGGCGUCGACGGGUAGCCGGCCUGAGAGGGUGACCGGCCACACUGGGACUGAGACACGGCCCAGACUCCUACGGGAGGCAGCAGUGGGGAAUAUUGCACAAUGGGCGGAAGCCUGAUGCAGCAACGCCGCGUGAGGGAUGACGGCCUUCGGGUUGUAAACCUCUUUUAGCAGGGAAGAAGCGAAAGUGACGGUACCUGCAGAAAAAGCGCCGGCUAACUACGUGCCAGCAGCCGCGGUAAUACGUAGGGCGCAAGCGUUAUCCGGAAUUAUUGGGCGUAAAGAGCUCGUAGGCGGUUUGUCGCGUCUGCUGUGAAAUCCCGAGGCUCAACCUCGGGCCUGCAGUGGGUACGGGCAGACUAGAGUGCGGUAGGGGAGAUUGGAAUUCCUGGUGUAGCGGUGGAAUGCGCAGAUAUCAGGAGGAACACCGAUGGCGAAGGCAGAUCUCUGGGCCGUAACUGACGCUGAGGAGCGAAAGGGUGGGGAGCAAACAGGCUUAGAUACCCUGGUAGUCCACCCCGUAAACGUUGGGAACUAGUUGUGGGGUCCAUUCCACGGAUUCCGUGACGCAGCUAACGCAUUAAGUUCCCCGCCUGGGGAGUACGGCCGCAAGGCUAAAACUCAAAGGAAUUGACGGGGACCCGCACAAGCGGCGGAGCAUGCGGAUUAAUUCGAUGCAACGCGAAGAACCUUACCAAGGCUUGACAUAUACGAGAACGGGCCAGAAAUGGUCAACUCUUUGGACACUCGUAAACAGGUGGUGCAUGGUUGUCGUCAGCUCGUGUCGUGAGAUGUUGGGUUAAGUCCCGCAACGAGCGCAACCCUCGUUCUAUGUUGCCAGCACGUAAUGGUGGGAACUCAUGGGAUACUGCCGGGGUCAACUCGGAGGAAGGUGGGGAUGACGUCAAAUCAUCAUGCCCCUUAUGUCUUGGGCUUCACGCAUGCUACAAUGGCCGGUACAAAGGGCUGCAAUACCGUGAGGUGGAGCGAAUCCCAAAAAGCCGGUCCCAGUUCGGAUUGAGGUCUGCAACUCGACCUCAUGAAGUCGGAGUCGCUAGUAAUCGCAGAUCAGC
rnacentral:rRNA from 1 species